ACCUAGAGUUGCAGUGUUUCAGGUCUUCAGGUUGCCACUGCGCUCCAGACAAUCCCAAGGGGCCUCCUAGCCUGGAUUUGCCACUAUGACCCCCACCCCGAGGUGGCACACGCCCAGGAUUCUGAGGGCAGAAUGGGUUCUUCCUUGUUUCCCCAGCCCUCCUAACGGAUUCCAGAUCCUGGCUCACCAUAGACGUGGAAGCCCAGCACACAGGAGGUCUGGCAUUCUCUCACCUCCCUGUGUUCAGUCCUACAACCACAACUGCCCCACUUGGGUGGAAGUCAGCACAUAAACCCGUCUCCUGGGAAGAAAAAAAGACCCCAGCGCAUCUCUCACCUCUGCCUCCUGGAGGGCCACCAACCCGGGCCCCCACUGCACCAGUCGUCGGUCCCGCCCACCACCACUCAGCACUGUCCCAUCCCGGCGGAGACACAGGGCAAAGAUGGACCCCUCGUGAGCAUGGGCCUGGGCCACGAUCGUGUAGGUCUCUGUUGGUAAAGGCUAGGUAAGUCAUGCUCUUAGAGAAAGGAGCAGCUUAGAGCAUCACAACACAGACUAACUCUAGCUCCCAAGCACCCACAGAAGACUCUUUAAGCCUCAUCAUGACUACCAAUUCAGCUCAUAGUAAUAGUGGCAAAAAAA
rnacentral:lncRNA from 1 species